UCAAUUAAUUUAAAUUAUCUUUAAUUUGAGAUUUUUUUUAAUUUAUUGUUUUUAUACUUUGAUUUUUUUUUCUAAAAAUGGGUGAUGCAAAAAUAAAAGAAUUGACAAAACUUCGCGGUAGUGUUAAGGGGAAGCUAACAAUUUUUCAAAAUUAUUUAAGCAGCUUUGAUGAUAGUAAUCAUGAUGAUUUAACUGAAAAUCAAAUUAAUGAGCUUGAGUGCCGGUUAAAUAAAGUAGACAGCUUGCAUGUUGAAUUCGAUAAAUUUCAGACGGAACUCGAAAUGUUAUCAGAAGAUCCAAGUCAACUAUUUUCUGAGCGUGAGGAAUUUGACCAAAAGUAUUUUUCAUUGGUAGCAUCCGCAAGAACAAUUAUGAACAGGAGCAGACGUCAACUGCAUCGGAGACUUUCUGUGUCCGAGACUAGUGAAGGGAGCGUAAGCAGAGAUGGAGGGUUUCGAGAUUUCGUUCGUUUACCUAAAAUCUCCCUUCCCUUCUUCAAUGGUGAAAAAAUGGAAAAUUGGCUGGAGUUCAGAGAUACCUACCUGUCUCUAAUUCAUAAUUGUUCCACCAUUGGUAAUAUCAAUAAAUUUCACUAUUUAAGAGCAGCAUUAAAAGGCAGUGCCUUAACUGUAAUACAAAGUCUUGAAUUCACAGCAAAAAAUUAUGACGUUGCUUGGCAAUUGCUUUCUAGUAGGUACGAUAACGAACGCAUUUUAGUAAAUAUACAUGUUAACGCUUUAUUAAAUUUCACACAAAUUCAAAAAGAGUCUGGUAAAAUAUUAAGAAAUUUAGUCGAUACCGUUAAUCGAAAUUUAUGUGCAUUAAAUAGUUUGGGUCAACCCACCGAUCAUUGGGAUACCUUAAUAAUACAUUUGAUGAGUAGGAAAUUAGACAGUGUCACCUUUCGUCACUGGGAGGAACACCGGAAUUCAAUAACGACAUCACCAACAUUAAAACAAUUUUUAACUUUUUUAACAAAUCGAGCAGACUUGUUAGAUACAAUACAGUUGGAAGAUACAAAAAGAGAAGAUACAUCACAAUUAAAUCAUUUCACACAAAACACAAAAAACACAAUUUACAACAAAACAAAAAACACAAAAAAUGAAAUUUCAUGUCCUAUGUGUAAACAAAAUCAUUUUCUAUUUAGCUGUGCGGAAUUUCGAAAGUUAAAUGUUAAUACACGGUUAGAAAAAGUAAAGGAUUUUGGAGUCUGUAAAAAUUGCUUACGGCCUGGACACAAAGACAGAUUCUGUCGAUUAACUCACUGCAAAUACUGUAAUUUGAAGCACAGUAGUCUUCUACACAAAGAUACUGAACAGGAAACUGUCGUAGCUUUGUCGUCAUCUAUAAAAGCUAGUGACAAGCCUCUUACAUUACUUUCCACAGCCUUGGUGAACGUGGUCGGCGCGGACGGCAGAUUGCACACCGCUCGCGCUCUUCUUGACAAUGGUGCUACUGCGCACUAUGUCACACAACACCUCUGUGAGAAGCUGGGUUUGGCACGAAAAAACACGCAUCAGAGCGCGCUUACGGAACGUGUAUCUACGUAAGAACGGUCGACGCAAACGGCACUGUACAUAUUCGCCUUCUAGCUUCUAGAAAUAAAGUGGCGCCUCUAAAACCUACCACAAUACCCAGACUGGAGCUUUGUGGUGCGGUUCUAGCCACAAGACUUCAUGCUAAAGUGAUUUCAUCACUGACACUUAAGUUAAGGCUGUACACUUGGAGCUCGUCACAGACCUUACUAAAGAGGCCUUCCUCGCUGCAUUCUUUAGGUUUAUCAGUCGCCAUGGAAAGCCAUUGACUGUGACGUCAGAUAACUCCACAACGUUCCUUGGAGCCAGUAACGAUAUAUCCAACUUUUUCACACAUCUGUCCGAAGACAUUAAAGCUGAUUUGAGUACCCAUGGAAUUAAUUUUAAAACCAUACCUCCUUAUACUCCUCAUAUGGGCGGACUAUGGGAGAGCGCGGUCAAAUCGGUAAAGCAUCAUUUAAAGCGGAUUUUAAAUUUAACACACUUAACCUAUGAGGAGAUGGCAACAUGCCUUGCUCAAAUUGAAGCUAUCCUUAAUUCCAGACCGCUGACACCUCUUUCUUCCGAUCCUUCAGACCUCUCAUGUUUAACUCCAGCUCACUUUCUAAUUGGACGACCACUUUUAUCUGUUCCUCGUCCUCCUGUCAGCGACGCCAAGCUCAGCGCCUUGGACCGCUACCAGAGGAUUGAGAAGCUGAAGCAACACUUCUGGGAUCGGUUCUCAAUAGAAUAUAUAUCUCUUCUUCAGCAACGUACCCGAUGGCAAUCAGCGAGUCCGGAUUUGCAGCUGGGCAGCUUGGUUCUUAUUAAGGAAAGGGGCCAGCCGCCUCUUCUGUGGUUGCUCGGACGAAUAGUCAAGUUGCACUCGGGCAGAGACGGAGUUUCGCGAGUAGCCGAGAUCCAGACCAGGAGAGGCCUAAUCACUCGGGCCUAUAAUAACAUCUGCCCCCUGCCUAUUUGACAGCCUCGGCUUGGGCGGGCAGGAUGUCCAAGCGGACGACUACGCGGGUUGCGGGGCGCGGGGACUCCGCGCCGGCCCGUCGUGCCAGCGACCGACGCGCGAACACUUCGAAAUUGAUUCGCACGGACUGUGUGCGCAUACAUACUUAAUACAUAUUGUUGU